AUUGAACGCUGGCGGCAGGCUUAACACAUGCAAGUCGAGCGGGGAACGUUGCUUCGGUAACUGACCUAGCGGCGGACGGGUGAGUAAUGCUUAGGAAUCUGCCUAUUAGUGGGGGACAACAUUCCGAAAGGGAUGCUAAUACCGCAUACGCCCUACGGGGGAAAGCAGGGGAUCUUCGGACCUUGCGCUAAUAGAUGAGCCUAAGUCGGAUUAGCUAGUUGGUGGGGUAAAGGCCUACCAAGGCGACGAUCUGUAGCGGGUCUGAGAGGAUGAUCCGCCACACUGGGACUGAGACACGGCCCAGACUCCUACGGGAGGCAGCAGUGGGGAAUAUUGGACAAUGGGGGGAACCCUGAUCCAGCCAUGCCGCGUGUGUGAAGAAGGCCUUUUGGUUGUAAAGCACUUUAAGCGAGGAG
rnacentral:rRNA from 1 species